CGGCGGAGGUAGCCGGGGGGUUGGGGACUCCUGCCGGGAAACCGACCUCGAGGGGCGUGGUGGUGGUCUUCCCCGUCUCCGUCGUGGGUUCGCCCGCCGCCCUGGAGGACAUACCGACUGUUCCAGCUCUGGGCUGAUUUCCUUUUUGUUUUCCCCGUCUGCUUUCCGCGGAGGAGGCUGUUUUGCAAGCCAGAGGAUUUUUACUUGCUACGCCGCCGCAGCUGCCCGCUUCCUUCCACUUCCCGCCUGUUUCCCUGCGUCCAGAGGCGUCGGGUCCGGUCCCCCCCUCGGGGCAGGCGGGUGGGCCAUGGAGGAGAAGUACCUGCCCGAGCUGAUGGCGGAGAAAGACUCUCUGGAUCCGUCCUUUACCCACGCGCUGCGGCUGGUCAACCAAGAAAUCGAGAAAUUUCAAAAAGGGGAAGGAAAGGAAGAGGAAAAAUACAUCGACGUAGUGAUUAACAAAAAUAUGAAACUGGGACAGAAAGUAUUAAUUCCAGUGAAACAAUUUCCAAAGUUCAACUUUGUGGGGAAACUUUUAGGCCCGCGCGGCAAUUCUCUGAAGCGCCUGCAGGAAGAGACAUUGACAAAAAUGUCAAUAUUGGGAAAAGGAUCCAUGAGGGACAAGGCAAAGGAGGAAGAGUUGAGGAAAAGUGGAGAAGCAAAAUAUUUCCACCUAAAUGAUGACCUGCACGUUCUGAUCGAGGUGUUUGCUCCACCAGCAGAAGCCUAUGCCAGAAUGGGACAUGCCCUGGAAGAAAUCAAGAAGUUCCUCAUUCCUGACUACAAUGAUGAAAUCAGACAGGCACAAUUGCAGGAAUUAACGUACUUGAACGGUGGCUCGGAAAACGCAGAAGUUCCAGUAGUCCGUGGAAAACCUCCUCUGCGGGCACGAGGAGUCCCGGCCCCUGCUUUGGCAAGAGUCCGUGGAGGUGUGCCACCCCCGCCCGCAGGCGUUCCAAGAGGGGCCCCAGCACCCAGAGGAGUACCUCCCGGCAGAGGUCCCGUCGCUCGUGGCCGUGGUCUUCUGACUCCCAGGGCAAGAGGAGUCCCUCCAUCCGCUGGCUACCGAUCUAUCCCACCACCUCUGGCGCAGGAUACCUAUGGAGAAUAUGAUUAUGACGAUGGAUACGGCACUUCAUAUGACGAGCAGAGUUAUGAUUCCUAUGAUAACAGCUAUAGUACCUCAGCACAAAGUGGGGCCGAUUAUUAUGACUACGCCCACGGCUUGACCGAGGAGACGUAUGAUUCUUACAGACAGGACGACUGGACCAACUCGAGACACAAGGCCCCUCCAGCCCGGACAGCGAAAGGCGCCUACAGAGAGCAGCCCUAUGCCAGAUACUGAUUAUACUGUCUGAUGUUGUGAAAUACCCAAUCCUCCACCAGUCCUGUAUACUGUUCAAAGAAAAUGCUGGAUGCCUUGGAGAACUGAGAAGAUAACCUGUUUCCACUGAUGUGCUGGGGCUUCUCACGCUGUUCCAGGCAGACUCAGAACACACUCCCUUCACCGACGUGCCUAGGAAACAACAGCCAGCUAGCGAACGACAAGUCCACUUUGAGUUAACGUC